rnacentral:lncRNA from 1 species
GAGCUGUCAAAAUGACAGUAAACCGGAUUCUUUAACAUUUAUUUGUGUUCUGGCAUUUAUCAAUAUUACAAAGACCAAAACUCCUAAUAGGUAAAAUUUAUGAUUAUCAAUAUCAAACUUGACUUCCAUGUUGUCAACAAUAACAACAUAUAAAUACCUUUAUCAAUCAUAGAAUGCUUCUAAAGUUAAUGAAUCCCAUUUCUGUUGUAUAAUCUGCCAAUAAUACUCGGGUAACACAAUUUUUCAAUCUUUCAAGAACCGAAAGGUUUGGUUGAACGGUUCAUGAGCAAAUGCACGGACACGACAUUUUUUAAACUUUCAAGAACCGUAACUCCUGAACGGUAAAAGUCAAAAUCGUCAUUAUUGAACUUGACCUCCGUUAUGUUGUCAGUAACAACAUAUUAAAAUUUUAAAAGGUUUGGUUGAACGGUUCAUGAGUAAAUGCAC